rnacentral:lncRNA from 10 species
CCUUACUUAAUCCUUACAACUACCCUAAGAGGUAGGAACUACUGUCAUCUUUUUAUAGAUGAGGAAAGGGAGGUUUAGGGAAGUGAAGACAUUUAUUCAAGGUGACUCCGAGGGGAAGAGGCAGAGCACAAAAUUGAGUCCAGGUGUGACUAACUGUAUAAUAGUUCCCUGACUCUUAACCACUAGGCCACUUGAGAAAAAGAUUUUCUAGCUUCUCAGAGUUCAGAGUAUGGUUGGUUAAAAAAGAAAAAAGAAAAAAUGAUUUUUUUCCCUUAAAGCAUUUAAUGAUAACUCUGUUAGCAUGGUGGUAACUGUCUGGUGGCCUAUGCUAGGCACUGCCUGUUUCCCUUUCCUUCCCUCUGCUUAUCUCCUGCUUAAAUCCCAUUCUUCAUCCCCUCUCCCCCAAACCCGUGCAGGCCCACGUGAAUCGGAAUCCUUGCUCUGUUCAGCUGGCUAAGGCGAGUCCCGCAAAGCGCUGGCCUCCAGGUGCUUCUGCCAGGCCUUGUGGUGCAAGGGCCCUGCCUCCUCCCGCUCCAGCAGCAGCCCUGGCGAUGCCCACUGCGUUUCUCAGCUCUGUUGGCAGUGGGGGCAGAAGAGGCUGCCUGAGGCCCCCUCCCAGCAAAAGCCGUGGCCACACCUGCAAUGACUGGGUUGCAGCUCUGAGCUGCAAGCAUUGGCUGUGGCCUGGAGACCAGCCACUGGAUGAGAGAAACGCUGUAGGAUCUGCAGGUUGUCUGGAGGGACUCGGGGUCCCUUGGUGAAAAGAGAAACCACUGCCCUUGAGUCAUAAGUAUGAUCAUCCUUUCUUUUAACAAAGGAUAUGACAACGGAGUGACUGGUCAGACUGCAAGGAAGAGGCAGAACCCUUUCACAAUCUUGGUGGCAUUUCUGCGGCAAGAAGACUUGAGUUCCUUCUAUAUAACCCAGGUCAUCUCCCGGCCCCUUUUCUGAGAUGAAAGUGGCUGUCUCUAACCUCUGACAACGCGGCGUCCUGCCGACACGAUGUGAAUGCCAGCGGCAGCAGUGCGCUGACUUCCAGGAGGGGGCAGUGGGGCUGGGGGACAUGAGGAGGCUGUAGGUGCCAGACCGUCUGAACAAAUGAGGAGAGGAGAGGAGUUCUUUCUCCUCCUGUUCCUUUUCCUCCCUACUUCUCUCUCACCUUCCCACUUCCCUGACUCUCCUCUCUACCCUGCUACUUCCUCAGUAGGUCUACUGUGAAAUGGACUGGACAUACAUCAGGACCGGGAGAAGAGAGAGGAAGUCAUGUCCUCACUUAGGAAAUGAGUCUGGUCUUUAGGAAGA